rnacentral:rRNA from 1 species
UACAGAGGUCUCGAGCGUUAGGCGGAAUCACUGGGCUUAAAGCGUGUGUAGGCGGAUUGCUAAGUACCUUGUGAAAUCCCACGGCUUAACCGUGGAACUGCUUGGUACACUGGCGGUCUUGAGCCACUUAGGGGCUACCGGAACAAAUGGUGGAGCGGUGAAAUGCGUAGAUAUCAUUUGGAACGCCAAUGGUGAAAACAGGUAGCUGGGAGUGUGCUGACGCUGAGACACGAAAGCCAGGGGAGCGAACGGG